CCACAGAGACGUCAGCUGAUUAAUCAAAUAACAAUCACGGAUUAGAUCAAUUUGGGUCCUUGUAAAGAUCGCUUCAUUCCUAAUCUCCCAAGUGACCCACUAGCAGGCUAUAAGUUCAGAUAGCCCUUUGCUCGUGAACAACGUUUUUUCCAUUCCAUCUGUCCUAGACCGUAUACACAUCAUUGCCUAAAUCUCCUGGUUGGACAUUCUCUAGUGACGUCACUAUGAGAAAUUUGAAGAACAUGCAUUGAGAAAAAA
rnacentral:lncRNA from 1 species